GAAUAUNAUGAUGGCAGAGAGGUCACACCCGUUCCCAUACCGAACACGGAAGUUAAGCUCUCUAGCGCCGAUGGUAGUUGGGACCUUGUCCCUGUGAGAGUAGGACGUCGCC
rnacentral:rRNA from 1 species